rnacentral:sRNA from 1 species
AAUGGUUGAUACUUAUGGCAAACCGCAUC